rnacentral:rRNA from 1 species
UGGGGAAUAUUGGACAAUGGGCGAAAGCCUGAUCCAGCCAUGCCGCGUGUGUGAAGAAGGUCUUCGGAUUGUAAAGCACUUUAAGUUGGGAGGAAGGGCAGUAAGUUAAUACCUUGCUGUUUUGACGUUACCGACAGAAUAAGCACCGGCUAACUCUGUGCCAGCAGCCGCGGUAAUACAGAGGGUGCAAGCGUUAAUCGGGAAUUACUGGGCGUAAAGCGCGCGUAGGUGGUUUGUUAAGUUGGAUGUGAAAGCCCCGGGCUCAACCUGGGAACUGCAUCCAAAACUGGCAAGCUAGAGUACGGUAGAGGGUGGUGGAAUUUCCUGUGUAGCGGUGAAAUGCGUAGAUAUAGGAAGGAACACCAGUGGCGAAGGCGACCACCUGGACUGAUACUGACACUGAGGUGCGAAAGCGUGGGGAGCAAACAGGAUUAGAUACCCGAGUAGUCCCUGAGCGGGCUGGCAAGGCGCAU